rnacentral:lncRNA from 1 species
CAGCUGCCUGCUACAUCUGUGGCAGCUCCUCGAGUAUUUUCCCACACACUGCCUAAGCAUGGGUGCCUAUAUGGACUGCGGUAUUGUGGCUGGAGAACAGUAAAAAGUAAUACUGUCUGCAGAUCAGGUAACAAAAAAAAUGAAUCAUGUGGACUCUGGGGUUAUCUCUGUCUCCUGAGUCAUGAAGAUUUGGGAUGAGAUCUAGAGCCUAGCAUCUGGGAGGAGCACAGUUGAAUACAGAACAGUUUAUGGGCAUCCCGGGAUCUCCCUAUCAAGACAGCUGCCCAAGAAAUGAAUUGCAGAGCAGGAAGCCCAAACAUUUCUUCAUUUCUUGAGGGGUCAAGCUGUUUUGUGGUCGUUAAUCUUCAUGGGACAAAUUACCACCGGCAGCUCAGCAGCGUGGCACUGAUGGACUGGGCAGGCAACAAAGCCACUCUGCCAUAACUGAGAGGAGUAUUUGCCUUGUAUCCACUGCAUUUCUUCUGAAACUUCUCCUCAUUUCCUUCAGCAUUGUGGUGCAAAUUAUUAUAAUCUAUGACUUUUCAUUGGCCUGUUGUCAGAACCAUCCGUUCCAGCUCACAUUGAACGACCCUCUGCUGACACCUACCCAGCCACUUUGACUUUCCCCUUCUCAGAGAGAUGAGCUCCUUUGCAUCACAGCCUCCAUUUGCUGAGUUAAAGGCUUGAACUUCCUUUAUCACUUCUUUCUCCCCUGUUUUCUUAAGGCCCUAAAGCUUCAGUGCUAACAUUUGGGUUUUCACUGGCAAAUGGAGUGACACAGAGCUGUGCAGGAAUCUGACAGUGUAAUUUUAAUAUCAAAACUAAGGUCUGUUUGCCAUGGUAAGGAGCAUACAUACAGCAAAAACACAUGCUGCCAUAACAAAAAAGGGAACAACAUAAAGUAUCAGUGCUAAUAAUAAUAAUAAUCUGCAUGAGAGAGAUGGAGAAAGAAAGAAAAAGAAUACAACCUUCAACCUUCCCUAGGCAACUCAAAUGCCAGAGCAUGUACAGUAUAGUUUGUAAAUCUUUUCAUAUUUAAAGCAUGCUAAAAAAAUAACAUAAGUAUCUAAAUAGGUAAUCUUUUCAGCCAGACACCCACACUGAUAUGAAACACAGGCUGUUAAUUUGGACCCCACCGAAAUGCCUCAGGGGAGACCAGCGCUGCCCAGGGAUCCUCUCUGAAGGGGCAAUUCCAGAAGUGGGGAGUCCUGUCCCGUCUCCCCUUCAACUUUCAUUUCA